CACACACACGUGUGGAACGUGUGUGCGCGCGUACAUAUCCUCAGCGAGUGCCUGCCUGUGUGAACGGCUGUGUGCCUACACGCGCCUCGUGCGAGUCUCCCCGUACGGACGUCCUGUUGUGUGUGAGGAUCUGUCUGCGCUGCGAGUGCCUGCGUGCGUGUGGCUCUAUACACCUGGUGCGUGUGUCGGCCCUUCUCUCUCCGUGUACACCCCCGGUUUUCAUUUUCUGGAUGCUCAAGAAACAACAGAUCCAGGUGAUGCCUCUGGAUCUUCCAGCUCAGAGGAAUUCACUGAUGAGCCAGAUGAUAAUCAUUUAUAAGGAUAUAAAAAAACAAAAAACCAAACAAACAGAGGACAAAUGGCAAGUCAAAGGAAGGUUCAAAAAAAGUGAC